rnacentral:rRNA from 1 species
UGGGGAAUUUUGGACAAUGGGCGAAAGCCUGAUCCAGCAAUGCCGCGUGUGUGAAGAAGGCCUUCGGGUUGUAAAGCACUUUUGUCCGGAAAGAAAUCCUUGGCUCUAAUACAGUCGGGGGAUGACGGUACCGGAAGAAUAAGCACCGGCUAACUACGUGCCAGCAGCCGCGGUAAUACGUAGGGUGCAAGCGUUAAUCGGAAUUACUGGGCGUAAAGCGUGCGCAGGCGGUUUGCUAAGACCGAUGUGAAAUCCCCGGGCUCAACCUGGGAACUGCAUUGGUGACUGGCAGGCUAGAGUAUGGCAGGAGGGGGGUAGAAUUCCACGUGUGAGCAGUGAAAUGCGUAGAGAUGUGGAGGAAUACCGAUGGCGAAGGCAGCCCCCUGGGCC